AUAUUUUCAAGAUUUAUUAAAAAUAUCUAAAAAAAAAAAAAAUCUGUUCUUAUCAGUUUAAUAUCUGAUACGUCCCCUAUCUGGGGACCAUAUAUUAAAUUGAUUUUUGGAACUGGGAGAUGGAAGAGGGGCUUGCUCCGUCCACUCCACGCAUCGACCUGGUAUUGCAGUACUUCCAGGAACGGUGCACUCCCC